AGAUGCUACAGAAUGAAUCUUGCUGGAGGGGUCCCUGCUGGGGCUCCAAGGGAACUACGUGUCAACAGGCACAACCUUCAGCUUCCUGACCU
ensembl:misc_RNA